rnacentral:rRNA from 1 species
GACGUAGGGCGCGAGCGUUGUCCGGAUUUAUUGGGCGUAAAGAGCUUGUAGGCGGUCUGUCGCGCCUGCUGUGAAAAUCCGGGGCUCAACCCCGGACUUGCAGUGGGUACGGGCAGACUAGAGUGUGGUAGGGGAGACUGGAAUUCCUGGUGUAGCGGUGAAAUGCGCAGACAUCAGGAGGAACACCGAUGGCGAAGGCAGGUCUCUGGGCCACUACUGACGCUGAGAAGCGAAAGCAUGGGGAGCGAACAGG